GUCUACGGCCAUACCAUGCUGAACGUGCCCGAUCUCGUCUGAUCUCGGAAGCUAAGCAGGGUCGGGCCUGCUUAGUACUUGGAUGGGAGACAAAUUACCUUUCCUGUCAUUU
rfam:Gorilla gorilla gorilla genomic chromosome, chr5, whole genome shotgun sequence